UGCUAAUGCUUCAUAGCAGACAACCAAAUGUGCUCUGCUGUAGUUUGAGAAAAUUAAUGAAACCAUAAUAAUAAGUAACAUCAUUAUAGCCCUGUAUUAUUGCCUCUUUUCUGUGUGUGUGUGUGUGUGUGUGUGUGUGUGUAUGCGCUGUGAGUUGGAAGACCAUCAUACAGUUGUGCAU